AGUCGAACGAUGAAACUUAAAUGAAUUCUUCGGAAUGAUUUUAAUUGGAUUAGUGGCGAACGGGUGAGUAACGCGUGAGUAACCUGCCUUACACAAGGGGAUAGCCUCUGGAAACGGAGAAUAAUACCCUAUGACAUUACAACUUCGCAUGAAGCAGUAAUCAAAGUGUUAGCGGUGUAAGAUGGACUUGCGUCUGAUUAGCUAGUUGGUGAGAUAACAGCCCACCAAGGCAACGAUCAGUAGCCGGCUUGAGAGAGUGUACGGCCACAUUGGGACUGAGACACGGCCCAGACUCCUACGGGAGGCAGCAGUGGGGAAUUUUGCACAAUGGGGGCAACCCUGAUGCAGCGACGCCGCGUGAUUUAGAAGGCCUUCGGGUUGUAAAAAUCUUUUGUAUAGGAAGAAAAUGACAGUACUAUACGAAUAAGGUCCGGCUAAUUACGUGCCAGCAGCCGCGGUAAUACGUAAGGACCGAGCGUUGUCCGGAAUCAUUGGGCGUAAAGGGUACGUAGGCGGUUAGAAAAGUUAGAAGUGAAAGGCUAUAGCUCAACUAUAGUAAGCUUUUAAAACUGUUUAACUUGAGAGAUGGAAGGGAAAGUGGAAUUCCUAGUGUAGCGGUGAAAUGCGCAGAUAUUAGGAGGAAUACCGGU
rnacentral:rRNA from 2 species